AGAGUUUGAUCAUGGCUCAGAACGAACGCUGGCGGCAGGCUUAACACAUGCAAGUCGAACGCGUGUAGCAAUACACGAGUGGCGCACGGGUGAGUAACGCGUGGAUAUCUGCCUUUGGUUCGGAAUAACUCCGGGAAACUGGAGCUAAUACCGGAUGGUUCCUACGGGAUAAAGAUUUAUCGCCAAAAGAUGAGUCCGCGUACGAUUAGCUAGUUGGUGAGGUAAUGACUCACCAAGGGCGACGAUCGUUAGCUGGUCUGAGAGGACGAUCAGCCACACUGGGACUGAGACACGGCCCAGACUCCUACGGGAGGCAGCAGUGGGGAAUAUUGGACAAUGGGGGCAACCCUGAUCCAGCCAUGCCGCGUGAGUGAUGAAGGCCUUCGGGUUGUAAAGCUCUUUUGGCGGGGACGAUGAUGACGGUACCCGCAGAAUAAGCCCCGGCUAACUUCGUG
rnacentral:rRNA from 1 species